GGAAGUCAUCCGGCCGGAUGAGGAACCUGUCUUGAAAACAGGCGGCGGCUUCGAGUCGCUUGUGGGUUCGAGUCCCACGGCUUCCG
rnacentral:tRNA from 1 species